GAUGAUGGAGACAGGAGGUGGCCAUAGGAACUCUGUGAUGAAACAACGAAACCUAAUUGUGUUAGGGGUUUUUAGAAUUGUCUCGAUGAGUAUUAGUUGUCUGUCGUAAGAAAAGUACAGUCAGCGAUAAAAGCUUGUACCAAAAAUGAAAUUUUUGCCAAAAACUUAUUUAGAAUCUUCCUUUCACGCUACAUUUUGCUUGCAAACUGUAAUUAUAUAACACAUUUAAAUGUUUUCAGGUGCAAGCAGUGGGUCAAAUUAAUUGGGAACGAAGACCUGGUAUAUCUUCCCAUAGAAAAGUUACAUGAAUUAAAAUUUGUAUGCGCAGACCAUUUCGAAAAAAAGCUUUUAAUAAAAAAAACAAUCAACUUAAAACGUCUGCCAUCUGCCAUACCUUCAAAAAAUUUAAAAGCUGAUCCACUUCCUGAUGAAAUGCUGCUUAAUUUUCCUUGUCAUGUUUAUUCGAAAAGGAACAUUCCUACGAAUCUCGACCCUCUGGCGAUCGGUGACAAUGAAGUUUAUUCACUACCCCAAGUAGAAGCCAUCGCUGGGCCUAGUAACUCGGAAUCAUUCAUGUCUGGACAGCAGCUGCCAUCUCAAGCCAUACCAUUAAAAAAGCUUGAAGCUAUUCGAAUCGCUGAUGAAACUCUGCUGAAUUUUUCCAAUAAUGCUUAUUCAACAUUGUUGAUAAAAGGAAUGACAAUGAAGUUUCACUACCUCAAGUAGAAGCUAUCGCUGGGCCUAGUAACUCGGAUUCAUUCAUGCCUGGACAGCAGCUGCCAUCUCAAGCCAUGCCAUUACAAAAGCUUGAAGCUAUUCCAAUCACUGAUGAAACUCAGCUGAAUUUUUCCAAUAAUGCUUAUUCAAACAUUGUUGAUAAAAGGAAUGACAAUGAAGUUUCACUACCUCAAGUAGAAGCUAUCGCUGGGCCUAGUAACUCGGGCGUAUCUCAAGAGCAAUGGCAUCGUGCAUCAAACCACUGUUCCUGGCUCCGCUGCUCAGAACGGGGUCGCAGAACGCGCGAACAGGACCGUGAUGCAGGCUGCAAGAUGCGGGCCUAAGCAACGAAUUCUGGGCGGAGGCCGUUAACACGCGUCAAAAACCGCUGUCCUACGAAAGCUGUACUGGGGAGCACUCCCGAAGAAAAGUGGAGUGGGAAAAAGGUAUCUCUAAGUCAUUUACGUAUCUUUGGUUCUGUGGCUUAUGCGAUGACUUUGAUGCGUUCAAAAUUAGAUCCGAAAGGCAAAAAGUACAUUUUUGUUGGGUAUUGUCAGCAUACAAAGGGUUAUUAUAAUAGUGACGGAAAUAUAAUAAUGUGAUAUAUUUUUAGAACCGGCUCUGAAUGCCCUUUCAUUUAAUACCACACACGAUUGGUUUCUGAUCAAAAAAGUUUUUUUUUCCAUACAAAAAAAGAUGACGUCAUAACUCUUCUACUUUUUUUUCUUUUGGUGCUACGGGUCAAAUUGAUUCAAAUGGUCUAAAGAUAAAUCGUACCGAUUUUCAUACCUUUAACACCAUUUGCAGCUAAUUCCCGAAUAUCAGGCUGUACCGCUAACACUAGUAGUGAGUGGUAAAUCAUAGAUCAUUUAUUUUUCGUGAUAAACUUAUUUUACAUACAAAAGUAACAAUGAUAAGGUUAGACAUAGGUACAUAAUUACAUAUUGUUUACCAUGAAAUGGGCUCGCCUCAGCAUAAUGCCGACCCGAGAGUCGGCGCUGGUCUUCCGGCGAGUCCAUUUUUGUGGGCCACGAUCACAGCUGUGGUACGUCUGAUGAUGCCAAUUUGACAUAAAAUUCUCAGAGUACGAGCGAUCGAACGAGUACGGUCAUAAUACAUGAUUCGUCUAGCUCAGGUGAAUGUGAUGAUCCGGCCGAUGCAACUUAUAUUCCAGAGGAGGAGAGUACGGAUACUUCGGACAGUUCAACGGGUUCUCCACAUUUUGGAUUCCUAGCGGGCACGUCCAAUCCAGAUGCUCCACGGACUAUACAAGAAGCACUGAGUGGUCCAGACGCUGACAAUUGGAGGGAAGCAAUGUCUUGUGAGUACAACUCAUUAUAAAAAAAAACAUUUUAUUUUUCUUCUCAUUUUUUAAAUACUUUUCGCGGAGGUACACCUACAAAAAAAAUAUGCAUGAGUAGCCACUAAUACCCACUACAUACACAUAUAAAAAUAUUUGCAUAAAUCUUCGUGCGUCAUGUCAAAA